CGCACCUUGCACCCCUUGGUAUUCCGAGGGGUACGCCCGUUUGAGUGUCAUUGUAAUCUCACACCCAAAGGUUUUAUUACCGGAGGGAGGUGGACUUGGAUGUUGCGGUGUUGAUGCCGCUCGUCUCAAAUGUGUUUGUGUAUCGUUUUGUAAUGCGUAGUCGGUGUGAUAAGUAUCUUCACCGCGGUCGAAAGGCGCGCCAUACGAAUCGCUCUGCACUCUCUAAUGGUCCCUUUGGGACAACGGCUCGUCCGUUUUUGACUAUUUGGCCUCAAAUCGGGUGGGAUUACCCGCUGAACUUAA
rnacentral:rRNA from 1 species